AAACCAACAGGGAUUGCCUUAGUAACGGCGAGUGAAGCGGCAAAAGCUCAAAUUUGAAAUCUAGUACUUUCAGUGCUCGAGUUGUAAUUUGAAGAUGGUAAUCCUAGCGCUGGCCCUUGUCUAUGUUCCUUGGAACAGGACGUCAUAGAGGGUGAGAAUCCCGUCUGAUGGGGUGUCCAGUGCAUUUGCAGGAUGCUAUCGAAGAGUCGAGUUGUUUGGGAAUGCAGCUCUAAGUGGGUGGUAAAUUCCAUCUAAAGCUAAAUAUUGGCGAGAGACCGAUAGCGAACAAGUACAGUGAUGGAAAGAUGAAAAGAACUUUGAAAAGAGAGUGAAAAAGUACGUGAAAUUGUUGAAAGGGAAGGGUAUUAGAUCAGACUUGGUGUUUUAUGAUUAUCUUCCCUUCUUGGGUUGUGCACUCGUAUUUCACUGGGCCAGCAUCGAUUCGGACGGUAAGAUAAUGACUUUGGAACGUGGCACCAUUCGUGGUGUGUUAUAGCCUUUGUUGAUAUUGCCUGUCUGGAUCGAGGACUGCGGCUUUUGCCUAGGAUGCUGGCGUAAUGAUCUAAUAUCGC
rnacentral:rRNA from 1 species